GGGUGAGCGGCGGAGGGGUUAGUAACGCGUGGGAAUAUACCCUUUGGUACGGAAUAGCCUCUGGAAACGGAGAGUAAUACCGUAUGAGCCCUUCGGGGGAAAGAUUUAUCGCCAAAGGAUUAGCCCGCGUUAGAUUAGGUAGUUGGUGGGGUAAUGGCCUACCAAGCCUACGAUCUAUAGCUGGUUUUAGAGGAUGAUCAGCAACACUGGGACUGAGACACGGCCCAGACUCCUACGGGAGGCAGCAGUGGGGAAUCUUGGACAAUGGGGGCAACCCUGAUCCAGCCAUGCCGCGUGAGUGAUGAAGGCCUUAGGGUCGUAAAGCUCUUUCGCCUGUGAAGAUAAUGACGGUAGCAGGUAAAGAAACCCCGGCUAACUCCGUGCCAGCAGCCGCGGUAAUACGGAGGGGGUUAGCGUUGUUCGGAAUUACUGGGCGUAAAGCGCACGUAGGCGGACUGGAAAGUUGGGGGUGAAAUCCCGGGGCUCAACCCCGGAACUGCCUCCAAAACUAUCAGUCUAGAGUUCGAGAGAGGUGAGUGGAAUUCCGAGUGUAGAGGUGAAAUUCGUAGAUAUUCGGAGGAACACCAGUGGCGAAGGCGGCUCACUGGCUCGAUACUGACGCUGAGGUGCGAAAGUGUGGGGAGCAAACAGGAUUAGAUACCCUGGUAGUCCACACCGUAAACGAUGAAUGCCAGUCGUCGGGUAGCAUGCUAUUCGGUGACACACCUAAACGGAUUAAGCAUUCCGCCUGGGGAGUACGGUCGC
rnacentral:rRNA from 1 species